rnacentral:rRNA from 1 species
UACAGAGGGGGCGAGCGUUGUCCGGAAUCACUGGGCGUAAAGGGCGCGUAGGCGGUCUCUUAAGCGUGUGGUGAAAGCCCGGGGCUCAACUCCGGGUCGGCCGUGCGAACUGGGGGACUGGAGCUUGUCAGAGGCAGGCGGAAUUCCGGGUGUAGCGGUGGAAUGCGUAGAGAUCCGGAAGAACACCGGUGGCGAAGGCGGCCUGCUGGGACAGUGCUGACGCUGAGGCGCGACAGCGUGGGGAGCAAACAGG